UGCAGAUUAUUGCAGACUAAGCAGUCUGGCUCUGCAGCAACACAAGGAGAAGGCUCUGGGAAAGGAGCCAGAGUCCAUGAGAAAUUAGCUCAUUGAUUCAGAAUCUACAUCACAGGCACAGCCCUGCCUUGGACAGAGGGGAGGGCACACAUACUUUCUUACACCCUUCUUUUAGGGGCUGCACCUCUUCCUAGAAGUCCAGUCACUUCUCUCCAGGAGAAGAACCCUUUGCACAGAAUGCCCCCCUCAAAGCCACCCUUCUGCUAACUAUGUAGAACUAAAGGACCGAGAGAGUGGAGGAGCAGAGAGCAGGGCUACUGCCUACUGUUCUACUUGUGCCGAUGGCUACCAUGCAGUCCCAUGGCUGCUGGCAGAUUAUUAAAAUGGACUACAGACCAAGUUUAACAAUCUGCUGCAACCGGGAUCCAUUCGAAACCAAGUUGAAAGAUGGGAGAUAUCCAGAGGGAUAUAUUCCACUUUCUGCAGAAGUCAAUCACAAGUAGAACAGUGAGGCUGGAUCGUCCCUGACUCCAGGAAAUGGCUGCAAACAUCAUUUUACAUAAAUUUAAAUUACCUCUUCCUUUUUUUUAAAUCAUAUAUCUUCCAUGUGUAGUGCAUUUGGUUUCUGGUUCUUGAAACGGUCAUGAUGUCAUAUAUUGGGAAAUGUUGUUCCUCUGUAAAUCAUCAAGUGUAAGAAUCUACGGGACUCUGAGCCUUGCUAUAGACUAAGAAUUAUGAUGGACAAAACGUACCAUAAAUCAGUUGUAACAGACCUGGUAAAGGAAAUAGUUUCACACUGUGAAAUCCACAAAUACACCAAGCACAGGUGGGCCUUGUAGUCUGUAUCUACCACAGCAAUUUCUUCCAUAACUCACACAAUACAGUUAAAAAAAAAAAUACUUAGACUUCGUUUAUCUAGAAAUACAGUAUCCUCGCAGAGGCUAAGAGUCCCCCUGUUAUAUAUUAUUUUCACUUAGAUGUAGCAUAACUUAGUUUUAAUUUUUUUUCAUCCAUUGUCUGUAUAUCUCUAUAUUUUAUUCAUGUACACUUUUAAUGUAUAGAAAUAGUUGUUUGAAACACAUUGUUUCCUUGUGGUGACAGAGAAGCUGCCACGGGACAUGAGACACUGAUGAAUGGUGCUAUUUUGGGAUUUUUAAACAUUGCCCCUUGGCAAGGUAGCUCUGAUGGGAGUUAUUUUUUAUUUUGUUUUAUUUUCAUGUUCUGAGAAAGGUAUUGGGUAUUCUUCUGAUUGUCGUUCUUUAGCUGGGACUGACUUUUCGUCUUUGUUGUAGCUUUUUUAAUUCCGUCUUUUAGGAUAAAUAACUGCUAACAGAGCAAGUGAGAAAAAGUAUUUUUUUUAAAUUAUUCUUUAAAUUCCGGGUGGAUUCACCAACAAGUAACCGUUGUAAUGGGAGCAAUCACAAAACUGUAAUUUGCCUAAAUAUUUUAUCUACGACCCAUUUUUACAUGAGAGAGGAAAAAAAAAAGCAAUAAAUGUUUAGUAACCUCGUUGAAAUAUUUUUUUCAAUUUUUCUGUUUUAAUUAUUUUUUUUCAAUUUUUGUUUAGAUGGCACACUUUUAAAUAAAGAGAGGGGCAGGUUUCUGAAUGUCCUGUGGUUUGCGAAAGCGAUUACUUUUAAGAGUGAGGCAGCUAGUAAUAUUAAAAUUAUAUAUUUUAAUUUUUAAAGAUGAGAAAAAAAAAAAAAAACAUUACAAAAUCAUUUCAAAAUCUUACACUUUUGUUCUUGCUCCCCGUGACAAAACAAUUCGGUAACCUUCUCAUGGAAUGUUGUUGUGUUAGACAUAAUCUGGAAGCCCACCUUAAUUUCUUUUUCCCUAUGAAUCUGUCUUUUGCUCUUCCUUCGCAGUCCAGAUAAUCUACUGAACUGUUUUCUUGCUUUUGACUGUUAUAUAAAAGUGCAUGCUUUAACAGUUUUCUAUUUUUUUUUCCAUUUACCUUUUUUAUUUUUUUUUUGUUUAUUUUUUUUUAGUGUCAUGUUGUACAAUUAGAAUAUAUGAGCUGAGCUGUAAAUAGUAGAGCAAUUAAUCAAUAUUAAGCAGUUGUGGCAUUUAUGUAUGGUCGCAGUUGUGUAUCGAUAAAAAGGCAAGCUUUUGUAAUUAAUGUGAUCUCUAAUGAUGCACUACACGUACCCAAUGUAUUUGAACUAUUUUAGUAGAAUUUGGUCAAUAAAUAUGCAAGCUCGAACGAUAUUAAA